rnacentral:rRNA from 1 species
UACAGAGGGGGCAAGCGUUGUUCGGAAUUACUGGGCGUAAAGGGCGCGUAGGCGGCCUUCUAAGUCGAACGUGAAAUCCCCGGGCUCAACCCGGGAACUGCGUCCGAUACUGGAAGGCUUGAAUCCGGGAGAGGGAUGCGGAAUUCCAGGUGUAGCGGUGAAAUGCGUAGAUAUCAGGAAGAACACCCGUGGCGAAAGCGGCUCUCUGGAACGGUACUGACGCUGAGACGCGAAAGCGUGGGGAGCGAACAGG